CCAAGGCUAAAUACUCCUGACUGACCGAUAGUGAACCAGUACCGUGAGGGAAAGGCGAAAAGAACCCCGGCGAGGGGAGUGAAAAAGAACCUGAAACCGUGUACGUACAAGCAGUGGGAGCACGCUUAGGCGUGUGACUGCGUACCUUUUGUAUAAUGGGUCAGCGACUUAUAUUCUGUAGCAAGGUUAACCGAAUAGGGGAGCCGAAGGGAAACCGAGUCUUAACUGGGCGUUAAGUUGCAGGGUAUAGACCCGAAACCCGGUGAUCUAGCCAUGGGCAGGUUGAAGGUUGGGUAACACUAACUGGAGGACCGAACCGACUAAUGUUGAAAAAUUAGCGGAUGACUUGUGGCUGGGGGUGAAAGGCCAAUCAAACCGGGAGAUAGCUGGUUCUCCCCGAAAGCUAUUUAGGUAGCGCCUCGUGAAUUCAUCUCCGGGGGUAGAGCACUGUUUCGGCAAGGGGGUCAUCCCGACUUACCAACCCGAUGCAAACUGCGAAUACCGGAGAAUGUUAUCACGGGAGACACACGGCGGGUGCUAACGUCCGUCGUGAAGAGGGAAACAACCCAGACCGCCAGCUAAGGUCCCAAAGUCAUGGUUAAGUGGGAAACGAUGUGGGAAGGCCCAGACAGCCAGGAUGUUGGCUUAGAAGCAGCCAUCAUUUAAAGAAAGCGUAAUAGCUCACUGGUCGAGUCGGCCUGCGCGGAAGAUGUAACGGGGCUAAACCAUGCAC
rnacentral:rRNA from 1 species